UCUUAUACAUAGCAAAAGAUCAUGAGCAACGUCCCCGGAAUGGAGGACUCACCAAUAACCUUGAUAGAAAAUCGUAUUAGCCACGCGGAGGAGGAUGGUCAAGCGGUGCUCCGGUCCCUACAUGGUGACAUCAUGUAGGCAUAGAGUAUGCGUUAGUACGUUUGAAUGUACUAAGUAUAUGGGAUGCAAUGCAAUGCAACAAUAGAUGGACAUCAUAUGCAAAAUGCAUAAUCAUACCCGAUAGAUAGCAUAUUAAUGAGAUGAUAUGUAUAAUGAUGCUUACAUAAAAAUCAUAUUUAGUGGGACGUAGCACAAGUGUGGUGAGUGACCAUCAAUAUAGUAUUUUCCAAGGCCUACCACCCCCUUGGAGAGGCGAAAGAGGUACAAACCCCUCAAUGUGGUUACCCGGGCCUACCACCCCCCGAGCUAGGGACCAAGGUACAAACCCCUCGAUAUGGUUAUACGGGCCUACUACCCCCCGUACUAGGCAACCAAGGUACCAACCCCUCGAUACGGUUAUACGGGCCUACUACCCCCCGUACUUGGCAACCAAGGUACCAACCCCUCGAUACGGUUAUACGGGCCUACUACCCCCCGUACUUGGCAACCAAGGUACCAACCCCUCGAUACGGUUAUACGGGCCUACUACCCCCCGUACUAGGCAACCAAGGUACCAACCCCUCGAUACGGUUAUACGGGCCUACUACCCCCCGUACUUGGCAACCAAGGUACCAACCCCUCGAUACGGUUAUACGGGCCUACUACCCCCCGUACUUGGCAACCAAGGUACCAACCCCUCGAUACGGUUAUACGGGCCUACUACCCCCCGUACUUGGCAACCAAGGUACCAACCCCUCGAUACGGUUAUACGGGCCUACUACCCCCCGUACUUGGCAACCAAGGUACCAACCCCUCGAUACGGUUAUACGGGCCUACUACCCCCCGUACUUGGCAACCAAGGUACCAACCCCUCGAUACGGUUAUACGGGCCUACUACCCCCCGUACUAGGCUUGGUCGACUCACAACACGUAUAUAGAGAAAAUCAUAUACAUGUAUCCAUUUCAUCAUCAUUUCAAUACUUAUAUAAUCAUCCGACUCAUAGGACGUACAUUGGACCUUCCAUUUCAUAAGAAUUCUAUAAAUGGCAUUUUAUCAAACAUAUGGUGGGCUACUUGUUCAUGUAAAUAAAAUCAUGUGUUUCAAGAGUACUAAGUCCAACCAAUUUCAAAAUCCAUAUAAAACAGCCCACCAACAACAUACAUAUAUAUAUACAUAUAUAACAACCUUCAUAAUUUGAUCAUGGAGGCAUGAAAACCAUAAACAUCAUAUAAUCAUUCCAUUUCAUGAUAAUAUACAAAAAUAGACCAUAAUAGGAUGUGUAGUAAUAAUUCCAUAAUUCAAGAGUUCAUAAAUGAUCAUAAGGACCCAUAAACUUGAAGUAAAAAUAGAGGAUAAAUGGUUGGACUUGUGGAAAGGAAGGUUUCCACAAUCAACCCACAUACCUCAACUUUGGAGAAUUCUUGAUGAAGAUUGGAAUGGAGAAUUGAAGCUUGAGUCUUGAAUCCGAAAUUAGAGCUUGAGAUGUUUGAAUUUGGUUGAAGAUCUUGGAAGAAUUUGGAGAGGGUUAGAGAGUGUUUUGAGAAAUGUUUUAGAGACUUGGAAUGAACUAAUGAUAUAUAGGGAAUAUCAUAUGCCCUUUGGAAAAAAAUUGUCCAACACUUAGAAAAAAUAAUGGGGCG
rnacentral:lncRNA from 1 species